GGGCGUAUAACUCAGUUGGUAGAGUGUUCGCUUUGCAUGCGAAAAGUCUGGCGUUCGAAUCGCCAUUCGUCCA
rfam:Penicillium subrubescens strain CBS 132785 PENSTBscaffold_743, whole genome shotgun sequence.